CCCGCUGAACUUAAGCAUAUCAGUAAGCGGAGGAAAAGAAACUAACAAGGAUUCCCCCAGUAACGGCGAGUGAACCGGGAACAGCUCAAAUUUGGAAUCUGGCGUCCGUGAGGGCGUCCGAAUUGUCAUUGAAAGGGCUCGCUUGUGCCGACCGGAGGAGUCCAAGUCCCUUGGAACAGGGCGCCAGAGAGGGUGACAGCCCCGUCCGGCUCCUCGACACGGAAGGCAGACAUACGAAGCGGGCCCAACGAGUCGGAUAGUUUGGGAAUGCUGUCCUAAAUGGGUGAUACAUGUCAUCUAAAGCUAAAUAUCAGCAAGAGACCGAUAGCAAACAAGUACCGUGAGGGAAAGAUGAAAAGAACUUUGAAAAGAGAGUUAAAAGUACGUGAAAUUGUUAUAAGGGAAACGAUUCAUGCUGCGCCAGGACAGGGCCUUCCAGGUCGAGCCUUUCGAGGCCGGCCGUACCAGGCCCUGACCCGGUUGAUCCGCUUGAGGCGGCUGGCAAACGCCUCGUGGGAAUGUGGCUCCGCCCCCGGGCGGACGCUUUAUAGACCGCGAGAGGCUGCCAGCCCGGCCGCAAGUGUCGACGCUUGUCGAGGCAGGUGGGUCCAGGCCGGGGCGUCUUCAUGGCGCGCCGUGCUUUUUCUUGGCCCAUCCCGUCAUCAACGCUGUGGCGUGAACCGACCCGUCUUGAAACACGG
rnacentral:rRNA from 1 species